rnacentral:rRNA from 1 species
GCUACCAUGCAGUCGCACGCGAAAGGGAGCAAUCCCCGGUAGAGUGGCGCACGGGUGAGUAACACGUGGAUAAUCUUCCCUCGAGCGGGGGAUAACCUUCCGAAAGGAGGGCUAAUACCGCAUAAGACCACGAGCUGUACGCAGCUUGAGGUCAAAGCUGGCCUCUUCAUGAAAGCUAGCACUUGAGGAUGAGUCCGCGGCUCAUCAGCUAGUUGGUAGUGUAAAAGACUACCAAGGCUAAGACGGGUAGCUGGUCUGAGAGGAUGAUCAGCCACACUGGAACUGAGACACGGUCCAGACUCCUACGGGAGGCAGCAGUGGGGAAUCUUGCGCAAUGGGCGAAAGCCUGACGCAGCGACGCCGCGUGGGUGAUGAAGGCCUUCGGGUUGUAAAGCCCUGUGGGGAGGGACGAAUAACGCCGACCUAAUACGUCGGUGGAUGACGGUACCUCCUUAGCAAGCACCGGCUAACUCUGUGCCAGCAGCCGCGGUAAGACAGAGGGUGCAAACGUUGUUCGGAAUUACUGGGCGUAAAGCGCGUGUAGGCGGUUAUGCAAGUCGGGUGUGAAAGCCCAGGGCUCAACCCUGGAAGUGCAUUCGAUACUGCGUAGCUAGAGUACUGGAGAGGAUGGCGGAACUCUCGGUGUAGAGGUGAAAUUCGUAGAUAUCGAGAAGAACACCGGUGGGCGAAGGCGGCCAUCUGGACAGAUACUGACGCUGAGACGCGAAAGCGUGAGAGCAAACAGGAUUAGAUACCCUGGUAGUCACGCGUAACGAUGGGUGCUAGGUGUCACGGGUA